rnacentral:rRNA from 1 species
GAUGAACGCUAGCGGCAGGCUUAACACAUGCAAGUCGAGGGGUAGAGGAAGCUUGCUUCCUUGAGACCGGCGCACGGGUGCGUAACGCGUAUGCAAUCUACCUUGUACAGGGGGAUAGCCCAGAGAAAUUUGGAUUAAUACCCCAUAGUAUUAUUGAAUGGCAUCAUUUGAUUAUUAAAGUUCCAACGGUACAAGAUGAGCAUGCGUCCCAUUAGCUAGUUGGUGUGGUAACGGCACACCAAGGCGACGAUGGGUAGGGGUCCUGAGAGGGAGCUCCCCCACACUGGUACUGGGACACGGACCAGACUCCUACGGGAGGCAGCAGUGGGGAAUAUUGGGCAAUGGGCGCAAGCCUGAACCAGCCAUGCGGCGUGCAGGAUGACGGUCCUAUGGAUUGUAAACUGCUUUUGUACAGGAAGUAACACUCCCUCGUGAGGGAGCUUGACGGUACUGUAAGAAUAAGGAUCGGCUAACUCCGUGCCAGCCGCCGCCGUAAAAC